rnacentral:tRNA from 1 species
ACCUGGGUGGCUCAGUGUUUGAGCAUCUGCCUUUGGCUCAGGUCGUGAUCCCCAGAGUCCUGGGAUCAAGUCCCACCUCAGGCU